GCCGGGGUGGCUGAGCGGCUCAGGCGGCUGCCUGCAGAGCAGCUUUACGUGGGUUCAACUCCCACCCCCGGCUCCA
rnacentral:tRNA from 1 species